AAGCUUAUAAUGCAUUAAAGUGUUAACACUUAUAGUAAUGUUUCAUUAUGGCAACGCUUAUAAUGCAUUGAAGUGUCAACACUUAUAGAUAUGCGAGUAUCGAAGUGUCAAUUUAGAGUUUCAAUUUGGUUGGCUAUAUGCAUCAAAUUAAUUAUGGGCCAAUAAUAAAUACGCAUGUAGCAUUGCAUGUCAAUUUUAUAAAGUUAUAAAUUUUAUUUUUAACAUAUUUAUUCUUAUUAUCAUAAAAAAAAUAUAAUUAUUAUAUUUUUAUGGUUUUUUUAUGUGUUGGAAGGGCUAUGUAAGGGUUCUGUUUCCUAGAGGCUUAUGUUUGAUGGUGGUUGUUUUGUUUUGGGGAGAUUUAGGGUCUGAUGAGGAGGAGUUUUAAGGCAAGAAGGGUGGUCACGGUGUGGCACGGGCAGGGGAGGUGCUGUUGGUUUGGCUAGGUUGUCGUCGUGGUAGGAUUUUUUUUUUUUAGUGUCUUUCUGGCCGUGACGGUUGAUGGCAGCAAGGAUGGCAGGGUUGGUGCUGGCUCGCUUGUUAGGAUUGGUUGCUUGGGUGUGGAGCUUGGUGUUGUGAGGGUCGGUGAUGGUGAAAGGAAUUGUAAGCGUGGUGCUGGGGUUCUACCAGGGACUAGCAUGGGGUUUGGAAAAGAUGUUGAGGAGGACCUUUAUGUUGGGGGUGCAGGCGAGAAGCUUUAGGAGGGGCUGGUCAGUGGCUUGUACGGGCGAAGGCUGGGGCUUUUGAAGGGCUUGAUUUGGUGUUGAGGAAGGGCUGAUGAAGGUGGAUUGUUGAGUUGGGGCUGUUAAUGGUGUUAGGGUUGGCCGGGGCUUGAUACAUGCAGGGGCUCGGUGCUCAGGCUUGGUGCGUGCAAUGGGUUGGUCGGAGGGUGCUUAUAGGGUGGAAAUGGGUGCUGGAACUUGAAAAAAAUUGUUGCUGCCUUCCCCCCUUUGGUGCUUGUCAAUUUUAUCUGUAAAUUUCCAUAAUAGACAAAAAUUCUAGGAUAGUGAAGGGACUGGUGAAGUCUGGUGAAAGCUGGCAGAGCAGGGUACUGGGACUUUGGCUUGUUAUGGCAGCAAGCUGCCCUUGUUGUAGUGAUUGCUGGCCGCACCUAUUUGUCCAUUUUCCCC
rnacentral:lncRNA from 1 species